GGACCGGUGGUGUAGUGGUAACGCAUUCUGUCCGGAAAUGAGGGGGAGUGGUUCGAUUCCCUUCCGGUCCA
rnacentral:tRNA from 1 species